rnacentral:rRNA from 1 species
GUCUCAGUUCGGAUUGAAGGCUGAAAUUCGCCUUCAUGAAGCCGGAAUUGCUAGUAAUGGCAGGUCAGCAUACUGCCGUGAAUACGUUCCCGGGCCUUGUACACACCGCCCGUCACACCAUGAGAGUUGGGAAUACCCGAAGCCUGUGAGCUAACUAUACGAGGCAGCAGUCGAAGGUAGAAUCAAUGAUUGGGGUGAAGUCGUAACAAGGUAUC